CCUGCAACGAGCGCAACCCCUGUCACUAGUUGCCAUCAUUAAGUUGGGGACUCUAGUGAGACUGCCUACGCAAGUAGAGAGGAAGGUGGGGAUGACGUCAAAUCAUCACGGCCCUUACGCCUUGGGCCACACACGUAAUACAAUGGCCGGUACAGAGGGCAGCUACACAGCGAUGUGAUGCAAAUCUCGAAAGCCGGUCUCAGUUCGGAUUGGAGUCUGCAACUCGACUCUAUGAAGCUGGAAUCGCUAGUAAUCGCGCAUCAG
rnacentral:rRNA from 1 species